rnacentral:rRNA from 1 species
AGGGUGUAAACGCUGCGGGCUUGGUGUUGGGGGUCCUUAGUGGGCGCCCAGUGCCGGAGAGAAGUUGUUAAGCCUGCUGCUUGGGGAGUAUGUCCGCAAGGAUGAAACUUAAAGGAAUUGGCGGGGGAGCACAACAACGGGUGGAGCUUGCGGUUUAAUUGGAUUCAACGCCGGAAAUCUUACCGGGACCGACAGCAACAUGAAGGCCAAGCUGAAGACUUUGCCGGAUUAGCUGAGAGGAGGUGCAUGGCGUAGUCGUGU